rnacentral:rRNA from 1 species
CCUACGGGAGGCAGCAGUGGGGAAUCUUGCACAAUGGGGGAAACCCUGAUGCAGCAACGCCGCGUGAAUGAAGAAGGUUUUCGGAUUGUAAACUUCUAUCAUUAGGGAAGAAAGAAAUUACGGUACCUAAAUAAGAAGCCGCCGCUAACUACGUGCCAGCAGCCGCGGUAAUACGUAGGGGGCAAGCGUUAACCGGAAUUACUGGGUGUAAAGGGAGAGUAGGCGGCAAGGUAAGCGAUAUGUGAAAGCCUUAAGCUUAACUUAAGGAUGGCAUAACAAACUGGCUAGCUAGAGUGCAGGAGAGGAGAGCGGAAUUCCUAGUGUAGCGGUGAAAUGCGUAGAUAUAAGGAAGAACACCAGUGGCGAAGGCGGCUCUCUGGACUGAAACUGACGCUGAGGUUCGAAAGCGUGGGGAGCGAACAGGAUUAGAUACCCCGGUAGUC